rnacentral:rRNA from 1 species
UACGUAGGGUGCGAGCGUUGUCCGGAAUUAUUGGGCGUAAAGGGCUCGUAGGCGGUUUGUCACGUCGGGUGUGAAAACUCGGGGCUCAACCCCGAGCCUGCUUCCGAUACGGGCAGACUAGAGGUAUGCAGGGGAGAAUGGAAUUCCUGGUGUAGCGGUGAAAUGCGCAGAUAUCAGGAGGAACACCGGUGGCGAAGGCGGUUCUCUGGGCAUUACCUGACGCUGAGGAGCGAAAGUGUGGGGAGCGAACAGG